rnacentral:rRNA from 1 species
UACAGAGGUCUCAAGCGUUGUUCGGAUUCAUUGGGCGUAAAGGGUGCGUAGGUGGCGCGCUAAGUCAGGUGUGAAAUUUCGGAGCUUAACUCCGAAACUGCAUUUGAUACUGGCGUGCUUGAGGACUGGAGAGGAGACUGGAAUUCAUGGUGUAGCAGUGAAAUGCGUAGGAGAUCAUGGAGGAAGACCAGUGGCGAAGGCGGGUCUCUGGACAGUUCCUGACAGUGAGGCACGGAAGGCCAGGGGAGCAAACGGG